rnacentral:rRNA from 2 species
GGAGCAACGCUGCGUGAGUGAAGAAGGCUUUCGGGUCGUAAAACUCUGUUGUUGGAGAAGAAUGGUCGGCAGAGUAACUGUUGUCGGCGUGACGGUAUCCAACCAGAAAGCCACGGCUAACUACGUGCCAGCGGCCGCGGUAAUACGUAGGUGGCAAGCGUUAUCCGGAUUUAUUGGGCGUAAAGCGAGCGCAGGCGGUUUUUUAAGUCUGAUGUGAAAGCCCUCGGCUUAACCGAGGAAGCGCAUCGGAAACUGGGAAACUUGAGUGCAGAAGAGGACAGUGGAACUCCAUGUGUAGCGGUGAAAUGCGUAGAUAUAUGGAAGAACACCAGUGGCGAAGGCGGCUGUCUGGUCUGUAACUGACGCUGAGGCUCGAAAGCAUGGGUAGCGAACAGGAUUAGAUACCCUGGUAGUCCAUGCCGUAAACGAUGAAUGCUAGGUGUUGGAGGGUGUCCGCCCUUCAGUGCCGCAGCUAACGCAUUAAGCAUUCCGCCUGGGGAGUACGACCGCACGGUUGAAACUCAAAGGAAUUGACGGGGGCCCGCACAAGCGGUGGAGCAUGUGGUUUAAUUCGAAGCAACGCGAAGAACCUUACC